CCGCUCUCGUGUUAUUUGCAUUCUGAGAUUUCCAAGGAAUGUGAACGUCAAAAAGAGCGCACAGCAAUAUUUCCUGUCCAGAAAUCUGCAGUGACUCCUUCGGAAUGGAAGGAGCCACGAUU
rnacentral:snoRNA from 1 species